UACGGGGGGGGCAAGCGUUGUUCGGAAUUACUGGGCGUAAAGGGCGCGUAGGCGGUUCGCUAAGUUGGAUGUGAAAACUCUGGGCUCAACCCAGAGCCUGCAUCCAAAACUGGCGGGCUAGAGUACUGGAGAGGUUGGUGGAAUUCUCGGUGUAGAGGUGAAAUUCGUAGAUAUCGAGAGGAACACCGGUGGCGAAGGCGGCCAACUGGACAGAUACUGACGCUGAGACUCGAAAGCGUGGGGAGCAAACAGG
rnacentral:rRNA from 1 species